rnacentral:tRNA from 1 species
GCCCCGGUACCCCAAUUGGCAUGAGGGAGCGGAUUCAAAACCCGUACAGUGUGGGUUCGAGUCCCACCCGGGGCACCA